GGGAAGUGCCGAGCUGGCCGGGCGGCGCGGCCAUGGCAGAGUCGAUGCAGGAGGAGCUCUCGGCCUUGGCCGCGAUCUUCUGCGGGCCCCACGAGUGGGAGGUGCUGAGCCGCUCAGAGACAGAUGGGGCCGUGGUCAGAGUCCACACCGAAGCUGAAGGACUGAAGGGUGUGCACGUGCCCCUGGAGCUCGUGUUCCAUUUACCGGCCAGCUACCCUCUGUGUCUCCCUGGAAUCUCCGUUCACUCCGAGCACCUGACCAGGGCCCAGUGCGAGGCUGUGAGAGGGAAGUUACUGGAGCGAGCGGCGCAGCUCGUGUCGGAGCCCAUGGUGCACGAGCUGGUUCUCUGGAUCCAGCAGCAUCUGGGGCGCAUCCUGGCCGGCCUGGAGACAAAGGCGGGCAGCCCCCAGCGCGCUUUUCCAACAAGCACGGCUGCGGACGACGGCCUGUGGAUGAUUCUUCUGCAUUUAGAUCACAUGAGAGCCAGGGCCAAAUACAUCAAAACCGUGGAGACAUGGGCUUCAGACUUGAGGCUGACGGGAAGACUGAUGUUCCUGGGUAAAAUCAUACUGAUUUUACUCCAAGGAGACCGAAAUAGCAUCAAGGUGCCAACACGUUCAGUGUUGAAUGGGAAUCUGGCUGUUUUCUGUUUAAAAUGGUGUGCCUUUACGUGUGCUUUAUAACAAUAGGAUAAUCAUUAGGAUGUUUCUGCUUUCACUAUUACUAUGUUACUGAAUCUUCAUUUAUUCUUUAAAGAAUGUCCAACUCCUGAUUACAGCUACAAACUUGCAAAGCUUGAAGAAGGAGUGUAAGAGUAGGUUGUGAAAAAUCAUGCCACUUCAGGGGAGUGACAGGUUCUAAGAGACUCUGUGGCUUGUCUGUUUAUUUCUAUAGUCAGUCGUGAGCCUCAAUUUUCUAAAUGGACAGGAAUGUAUGUGCAUAUUAAUAGUUCCUUCCAUAGCCAGUAGCCUGCAAAACAUGUGACUUCGUGGCAGUUAAAAAUUCAUCCUGACACGUUAAUUUGGAUCUAUACUACCCAGAAAGAGGUGCUUGUCCCUUGUAACCAAGAUUUAGUGUUAGUAAAAGUAGAGUCAUUAGGGCUGUCAGCUUGUCACCUCCUACUAACUUUUGCUUUCCACCUGACUUGUCUCAGCAGCUGCUUUCAAAAUCGUCAUCUUCAGAAUUUUCCAGCCUGUUUUAUGUGGGACCAGAUGAGGAAAACUGCUUAUUAUAUUUUAAAUAUUAAAGGAGCUGCAAAUCACAGAAUAGUUCUUUUUUUUUUUUUUUUACUUUUAGAUAGAUUGGGUCAGGAAUAAUUAUAACUGAACUCCUUUCUAACAGAUUUAGCAUGAACAGCCUAUAAUCUUCAGACUUGUAGAAUAACGACCUAGUUCUUUCAUGAUGGGCUCUCAUCACAAAAUGACUGGCAUUUGGUUAACCAGAUUCAUGCUGGGUUAUGGGAAAGAGAUAUAACAAUAAUUCACAUGUGGUAUGUAUUCUGGGUCCGGUACUGUUUUAUGGUGAUUUCCAGUGUAUCUAUAACUGUCUGGCUAAAUGCAGCUGUUUUGUGGAUGUUGUCACUCAGAUUGAAUCAUCAGUUGAGAAGUAUGUAGUCAUAUGACUAGAACUCUGCUAAUGAACUUUUUAAAGAGUUCUUUUGUAUGAGUUGUUUCUAAAACUUUACGUGAAUUUCUCUGUUGAAUUUUGUUAUUUUCAAAAAUUUCUUAAAGUUUAUUUUAAAGGGAGAGAGAGAGAGAGAGAGAGAGAGAGAUCAUCCAUCUUCUGGCUCAUUUCCCCAUGCCUGCAGCAACCAGAGGUGGGCUAGGCUGAAACCAGGAUCUAGGAACACCACCCACAUCUCCCACAUCGGUGGUUGGGACCUAAGUACUCUAGCCAUCAUUUGCUGCCUCCCAGGGUGUGCAUUGGCAAGCUGCUGGAUCAGAAGUGGAGGCAAGGAUUUGAUCCUUGGUAGUCUGAUAUCAGAUGCACAUGUCCCAAGUGGAGGCUUAUCCCACUGUAUCACAACAUCUCUCCUUCCCCGCCCCCAUUAUUUUAUAUUUUAAGUUUUCAUUACAUUUGAAAGACAGAAAUCUUCCAUCUACUGGUUCACUUUUAAAUGCCCACAGCAGCUAAUGCAGGGCCAGGCCAAAGCCAGGAGCCUGGAACUCAAUCUGGGUCUCCUAUAUGGGUGUCAGGGACUCAGCACUUGAACCAUCACCUGCUGCUACCCAGGGUCUGCACUAGCAGGAAGCUGGGUUGGAAGCAGAGGAGCCAGCACUCAAAUCCGCUCUCUGGUAUAGGAUGCAGGUAUCUCAAGCAGCAUCUCAACUGCUGUGCUGAACACCUGCCCCAAAUUUUGAAAUUUGUAGACUGGGAUUGAGAAUAUAUAGGAACAUAUUUAUGGAUGUCAUCAAUUUGAAAUGGUAAGUGCUGUGUGACUGAUACAUUUAUUCCCAUGCUGCAUUAGUAAUAACAACAGUGGUGGCUUGUGCUCUUAAAUGUGCCAAAGCACUUGUAUGCCAGGUACCCAUCUAAGUGCUUUUUUUGUUUGUUUGUCUUUAAAGAUUUGUGUUAUUUAUUUGAAAUGCAGUGUGUGUGUGUGUGUGUGUGUGUAUUUGAGAGAGAGAGAGAGAGAGAGAGAGAGAGAAAAUGAGAGAGACAAAGAGAUCUCCCAUCCGCUGGUUCAAUCCCCAAAUAGCAGACCAAAGCCACGUGCCAGGAAAGGAAUCCCAGUCUCCCACGUGGGUGGCAGAGCCCCGAUUAUUUGGGCCAUCUUUUGCUGCUUUCCCCGGCACAGUAUCAGGGAUCUGGAUCAGAAUCAGAGCAGCUGGGAUUCAAACAGCUUCCUCAUGAGGUGGAGCGUGCCAUGAGUCCCAUUUUAUGGAGGAUGUAACUGAGGCACAGAGGAUUUAAUAACCAGCCCAGGGUGCCAUCUAGAGGGCAGUCCAGUCCAGGUUUAAACUUGAGCAGUUCCGUGACAUCACUCUUGAUUCCUGCCUUCACCAGCAGGUUAUUCUGCCAAACAUGUGGAAACACUGUAUAACUCUUACUGAUUGAUUCCAAAAGAGAGUCGUCUGCAAGCAUGAAAAUAAGCCUGCAAGUUUGUGGCUGCUUUCAAAGUAGAACUUUGAGACACAGAGUAAGCGACGUAUUUAACAUUCUGAUUU